CCUACGGGAGGCAGCAGUGGGGAAUAUUGCGCAAUGGGCGAAAGCCUGAUGCAGCGACGCCGCGUGAGGGAUGAAGGUCUUCGGAUUGUAAACCUCUGUCAGCAGGGAAGAACGGUCACUGUGCUAAUCAGCAGUGAAUUGACGGUACCUGCAACGGAAGCACCGGCUAACUCCGUGCCAGCAGCCGCGGUAAUACGGAGGGUGCGAGCGUUAAUCGGAAUUACUGGGCGUAAAGCGCUCGUAGGCGGUAUGUCAAGUCAAGGGUGAAAUCCCCGCGCUCAACGUGGGAACUGCGUUUGAAAGUGGCUAACUGGAGUGUGUGAGAGGAUAGUGGAAUUCCAGGUGUAGGAGUGAAAUGCGUAGAGAUCUGGAGGAACAGCAGUGGCGAAGGCGGCUAUCUGGCACAUAACUGACGCUGAGGAGCGAAAGCGUGGGUAGCAAACAGGAUUAGAUACCCUAGUAGUC
rnacentral:rRNA from 1 species